AAUCUCAAAUUAAGUAUUUAACAAACUCAAAUCUGAGGCCACACAGAGAUCAGGUAGCUGUGGUCCAUUGUCUAGGCUCUCUACCUGGUGGUAAGAAGCCGUCUGGAGCACAGCACAUCCAGCUCUCUCCUUACUGGCAGAACCGUCGGCCGCCCUCACUGAGAGGACGGUGAACACUCCUGGCAGAGAGCAGCUCUGGAGUGUGGUGGGGCAGCUCAGUGGGGUACGUAAGAUCCGGGAGGGAGGGGGAGUGGCAGCCAGUGCCACGCUGAGGGUGGCAGCCAGUUGCCUGGUGGCCUCUCUGGAAACAUCAGGAAGGUCAGCGGGGUUCCUGAACUUUGGAGCCAGCUUGGGCAAUCUUCCCCACCCCCUCUGCUGUGUCCCGCUGUGUGACCUGGGGCAUGUGGCAGACUAAUGUCUCCUUCAGUUCCCCUCCAUAAACGGGGUCACAGCGUGGCUGUGGGUAUGUAAAUCUGUCUUCCGUGCAACAUGGUGUGCCAUGGGUAACCUGGGGUCAACACGGGCAUCAUGAGCACAACGACGCAGGCAAGGCGUACAGUGCUGGGGCCGGCGAGAUAAUAAGCUUCUGAACAGCCAUGCCUCCCUUUCCGUGCCAAGUACCCCGGUACAGAGGCCAGCGAUGAAACUGACACUUAACCCAGCCAGGCCUCCCAUCCGCUGCUGCCACCCUCUGACCACAGUGACCACCCAUGUGCUGUGGUUGGAAUGUCCCCUGCAGACCGGGCUGAAACUGAACUGCUAUUGUGACAGUGCUGAGGGGCCCAGGUCCAGAGCGCCCUGCUCAGGAGGGGCUCUGCGGUGGUGGGAGCAGAGGAGCACAGGAGCAGGCCCCAAUUUGUCCUGUCUCACACACGGUCUCUUGUGCUUCUGCCCUUUAAUGAGCCAGCAAAACAGUCCUGCCAAGAGGCUGGAGACUCUAUGUUGGACUUCCCAUCCUCAACCUAUGAAAAAUAUUCUUUUUUUUACAAAUUCCCUAGUAUGUGAUACUCUAUCAUAGCAAUGGACAAAAUGAAUGAAAGCACUGAGUCUGGCCUAAGUCAUUAGAAAUGCCACGGGGUUGGCAGUGGGGGGGGGGACCUCACCCAAGCUUCCAGUUCCUCCUCCCACAAAACAGAGUCUACAGCCCUUGGUUUGACUUUCAAAUUACCCUUGAACUUCCUACCCCAAGAACAUACAGUUCUUGUGCUUGGCCAUUGGAGGCAGCUCAUUUGGUUUGAGCAGAUGCAAGAAUCCCACAAUUGGGGACAGAUGUUAAUCUGUUCUUUUCUGUAGGAAGGAAAACAGAAGGGUGAGACCGAAGCAGUGCGGGGGAAACCCCAGUUGUGUAAGCAUUGUGUAACUCCUGGGCGGGGUUCAAACAUGCGAGUUCUGCUUGAAAUCAGUAACGGAAAGGCCAUUUUUGGUCAUGCCUUUGAGAGGACAUCUUUGGAAAUGGAAUUUACAUAGCCUUUGUUCUGUGUGCUCUGAGGUCCCUUGCUGCCUCCCCAAGUCAUGCUCAGAUGGGAAACCAGCCCAGGAUUGCCACAUCAGACUCCUGCCAGCUGCUUCUGUGUCUCUACCCUUGUCCUCUUCAAACGUAGGACGUGCUGAGCACAUGUGUGUGCGUUUGUGCGGCGAAAGGUCACAAAGGUGGGUUCCUGAGAGCUCAUGGCUCAGAGAGAAGCUGGGUGGGUCAGAGGCCAGGGAGUGGAGGUGGGAAAUAAAAAAUGAGCCUCUAGUAAAAGAGAUGCUCUGCUAGCUGUCAUCAUGGCCACAAAAGCUCACAGUAAGAAACUCCUUUCCAGUUUGCUGGUAAACUCCACCCCUCUGCUGUUGGGAGAGAUUAUUUUUCAUUGCAAAGCAGCCAGGUAAUUAACAAUUGUGAAACGCAGCACCAUUUGCCAAGCUCACUUUCAUCCAUCAUGUCAUUUACACUUCUGUGUCACCCUGGGAGGCUGGCUUUGCUACACUCAUUUUUGCAGAAGUAGAAGCUGAGGGUUGGAGAGGCGAAGUCCUGGUAGUGAAACUGGAGAGGUUUAUCCCGACCCACCUACGGUCUCCAUCUCUUGUGCCUGAGACACGGCUCAGAAGUCGGGAUCCGAUCCACACUGGCAUGAGGGCUGUGUGUGGAUUCCUCCGCAGGAGCACAGCCCGCCUUUUGCAGCCUGUCUGUGGUCCUCAGCAAUCACACCUGUGUUCUGAAUCAAAUCUACAGGACCCCAGCCGUUCCAUCCACCCCGCCAGGCUGCCCAUGAGCUACACCAUGAAGUCUGCUCUUCUGCAGAAGAAAGCUGGGCAACCUGUCUCUUCUGGACUUCUUCAUGGUCCUCAGUACCUCAGGCUCAGGACCAUGUGACCCUGGCUCUCAUGUGGCCCCACAAAGCGGGGCUCCAGGCAGAGCACCAGCCGUUGGACAAGGAGGACUCUGAGCUGCAGGUGCUCAGAACUGUGACCAGUGCACGUGGCUGGGGCCAUGGCCACCCCUCUCGCUCUUCCUGUGGCCCCUGGGGAUGGCUGGGAGGUGGGCCAGGCUCCCUGGACAAGGUGGCCAUGAGCUGAACACUUCAGGGUGAGUGGGAGUCACCUUUGCUGCUUUUCUAGCUUUGGGCAGAUGCGGAGAUAUUGUUACCAAACGGCUUCUGAUUUACUGGGUCUUGGGCAAUGGGGAUGUGCAGACCCUGCCUUGUCCUAGACGCUGUCCAUGCUGAGAUCAGAUCUGAAACAGGGGGACACAAGUGGCUAGGGGGCAGGAGCUUGGGGGAGAUGAAGAGACAGAAAAUCUCUGGCUGUGCUAGUACAGGCAGAGAAAAAGGGCAGCCAGGUGAGGCCAGGAGGGCUUUGGACAGUCAGCGUUCAGCAGCCCUGGGCUCAGGAGGGAGGAGAUGCGUGCGCAGAGCCCACACUUAGCUGACGCAAGGCCCCUGCUCCUGAUGUGUAUUUCAUCCCCCUUGGUGUUCAAUAAUACGUGUUUUGUAUAAUAUAUGAAUAUACAGUGUACAAACCAGGCAUGGCGCACACCUGUAAUCCCACUCUGGAGGAUGGUCAGGAGUU